rnacentral:rRNA from 1 species
AGUGAACGCUGGCGGUAGGCCUAACACAUGCAAGUCGAACGGCAGCACAGUAAGAGCUUGCUCUUACGGGUGGCGAGUGGCGGACGGGUGAGGAAUGCAUCGGAAUCUACUUUUUCGUGGGGGAUAACGUAGGGAAACUUACGCUAAUACCGCAUACGACCUACGGGUGAAACCAGGGGAUCUUCGGACCUUGCGCGAUUGAAUGAGCCGAUGUCGGAUUAGCUAGUUGGCGGGGUAAAGGCCCACCAAGGCGACGAUCCGUAGCUGGUCUGAGAGGAUGAUCAGCCACACUGGAACUGAGACACGGUCCAGACUCCUACGGGAGGCAGCAGUGGGGAAUAUUGGACAAUGGGCGCAAGCCUGAUCCAGCCAUACCGCGUGGGUGAAGAAGGCCUUCGGGUUGUAAAGCCCUUUUGUUGGGAAAGAAAAGCAGCAGGUUAAUACCCCGCUGUUCUGACGGUACCCAAAGAAUAAGCACCGGCUAACUUCGUG